CCAGACUCCUACGGGAGGCAGCAGUGAGGAAUAUUGGUCAAUGGCCGAGAGGCUGAACCAGCCAAGUCGCGUGAGGGAAGACGGCCCUACGGGUUGUAAACCUCUUUUGUCGGGGAGCAAAGCGAACCACGUGUGGUUCAUUGAGAGUACCCGAAGAAAAAGCAUCGGCUAACUCCGUGCCAGCAGCCGCGGUAAUACGGAGGAUCCGAGCGUUAUCCGGAUUUAUUGGGUUUAAAGGGUGCGUAGGCGGCCUUUUAAGUCAGCGGUGAAAGUCUGUGGCUCAACCAUAGAAUUGCCGUUGAAACUGGGGGGCUUGAGCAUGUUUGAGGCAGGCGGAAUGCGUGGUGUAGCGGUGAAAUGCAUAGAUAUCACGCAGAACUCCGAUUGCGAAGGCAGCAUACCGGCGCGCAACUGACGCUCAUGCACGAAAGCGUGGGUAUCGAACAGGAUUAGAUACCCUUGUA
rnacentral:rRNA from 1 species